rnacentral:rRNA from 1 species
UGGGGAAUUUUGGACAAUGGGGGCAACCCUGAUCCAGCAAUGCCGCGUGUGUGAAGAAGGCCUUCGGGUUGUAAAGCACUUUUGUCCGGAAAGAAAACCUUCGCCCUAAUACGGUGGGGGGAUGACGGUACCGGAAGAAUAAGCACCGGCUAACUACGUGCCAGCAGCCGCGGUAAUACGUAGGGUGCAAGCGUUAAUCGGAAUUACUGGGCGUAAAGCGUGCGCAGGCGGUUUGCUAAGACCGAUGUGAAAUCCCCGGGCUUAACCUGGGAACUGCAUUGGUGACUGGCAGGCUAGAGUAUGGCAGAGGGGGGUAGAAUUCCACGUGUAGCAGUGAAAUGCGUAGAGAUGUGGAGGAAUACCGAUGGCGAAGGCAGCCCCCUGGGCCAAUACUGACGCUCAUGCACGAAAGCGUGGGGAGCAAACA